rnacentral:rRNA from 1 species
GACGAACGCUGGCGGCGUGCCUAAUACAUGCAAGUCGAGCGGACGGAUGGGAGCUUGCUCCCAGACCGUCAGCGGCGGACGGGUUAGUAACACGUGGGCAACCUUCCUGUAAGACUGGGAUAACUCCGGGAAACCGGGGCUAAUACCGGAUAACUCUUUCCCUCACAUGAGGGAAAGCUGAAAGAUGGCAUCUCGCUAUCACUUACAGAUGGGCCCGCGGCGCAUUAGCUAGUUGGUGAGGUAACGGCUCACCAAGGCGACGAUGCGUAGCCGACCUGAGAGGGUGAUCGGCCACACUGGGACUGAGACACGGCCCAGACUCCUACGGGAGGCAGCAGUAGGGAAUCUUCCGCAAUGGACGAAAGUCUGACGGAGCAACGCCGCGUGAGUGAUGAAGGUUUUCGGAUCGUAAAACUCUGUUGUCAGGGAAGAACAAGUACCGGAGUAACUGCCGGUACCUUGACGGUACCUGACCAGAAAGCCACGGCUAACUACGUG